UACGUAGGGAGCAAGCGUUGUCCGGAAUCAUUGGGCGUAAAGCGCGCGUAGGUGGCCACGUAAGUCCGCUGUGAAAGUCAAAGGCUCAACCUUUGAAAGCCGGUGGAUACUGCGAGGCUAGAGUACGGAAGAGGGUCGUGGAAAUUCCCAGUGUAGAGGGUGAAAUUCGUCAGAUAUUGGGAAGAACACCGGUGGCGAAGGCGGCGACCUGGUCCGGAUACUGACGGCUGAGGCGCGAAAGCGUGGGGAGCAAACAGG
rnacentral:rRNA from 1 species